rnacentral:rRNA from 1 species
UCUGGGAUUAGAUACCCUGUUAUUAAAAAUGUAACUAUAAAUACUAGAGUAGUAAUAGUUAUGGUCUUAAAACUUUAAAAAUUUGGCGGUAUUUUAGUCUAUUCAGAGGAACCUGUUUUGUAAACGAUAGUCCACGUUGAACCUUACUUAAUUUUAUAUAUUAGUUUAUAUACCGUCGUUAUAGAAUAUUUUAUAAGAACAAUAAUUUUCUUAAAUUACAAUGAUAAUUUAUGUCAGAUCAAGGUGUAGCUUAUGGUUAAGUAAUAAUGGGUUACAAUAAAGUUAUUUUUAUGGAUAUGAAUGUGAAAUUAUUUAUUGAAAUUGGAUUUGAUAGUAAAAUUAUAAAGAUUAAUAAUUUGAUUUUAGCUCUAAAAUGUGUACAAAUCGCCCGUCACUCUCUGA